rnacentral:rRNA from 1 species
GACGAACGCUGGCGGCGUGCUUAACACAUGCAAGUCGAGCGGAAAGGCCCUUCGGGGUACUCGAGCGGCGAACGGGUGAGUAACACGUGAGUAACCUGCCCCAGACUUUGGGAUAACCCUCGGAAACGGGGCUAAUACCGAAUAUUACCUGCUUCCGCAUGGUUGUUGGUGGAAAGUUUUUCGGUUUGGGAUGGACUCGCGGCCUAUCAGCUUGUUGGU